AGCAACUGAGGAGAAGUUAGAAAGGGCACACGGUGGAUGCCUUGGCGCCGUGGAGCCGAUGAAGGACGGGGCGAACACCGAUAUGCCCCGGGGAGCCGUAAGCAGGCUUUGAUCCGGGGAUUUCCGAAUGGGGCAACCCACCGGCGGCGAACCGCCGGUACUCCUGCCUGAAUCCAUAGGGCAGUGAGAGGCAGACCGGGGGAACUGAAACAUCUUAGUACCCCGAGGAAGAGAAAGAAACCUCGAUUCCCCGAGUAGCGGCGAGCGAAACGGGAGAAGCCCAAACCGAAGGGAAUUCCCUUCGGGGUUGUGGGGCGUCCUGUAUGGAGUCAGAAAAGCGAAGCGUAGGCGAAGUGGCUCCGAACGGCCCGCCAGAGACGGUAACAGCCCGGUAGCCGAAACGCUUUGCUCUCCGGGACGGACCCCGAGUACCACGGGACACGUGAAACCCCGUGGGAAUCCGGGAGGACCACCUCCCAAGGCUAAAUACUCCCUGGCGACCGAUAGUGAACCAGUACCGUGAGGGAAAGGUGAAAAGCACCCCGGGAGGGGAGUGAAAGAGAACCUGAAACCGUGUGCUUACAAGCAGUCGGAGCCCUCUUGAAGGGUGACGGCGUGCCUUUUGUAGAAUGAACCGGCGAGUGACGACGGCCUGCAAGGUUAAGGCGAGAAGCCGGAGCCGCAGCGAAAGCGAGUCUGAACAGGGCGUUUAGAGUAGGUCGUCGUCGACCCGAAACCGGGUGAUCUACCCAUGUCCAGGGUGAAGUUGAGGUAACACUCAAUGGAGGCCCGAACCCACCGAUGUUGAAAAAUCGGGGGAUGAGGUGUGGGUAGGGGUGAAAUGCCAAUCGAACCCGGAGAUAGCUGGUUCUCCCCGAAAUAGCUUUAGGGCUAGCCUCGGAACCGGAGUCGCGGAGGUAGAGCACUGAUUGGGCUAGGGGCCUGUCAAGGGUUACCGAACUCAGUCAAACUCCGAAUGCCGCAGACUCAUCAUCCGGGAGUCAGACUGCGGGUGCUAAGAUUCGUAGUCGAAAGGGAAACAGCCCGGACCACCAGCUAAGGUCCCCAAGUGCGUGUUAAGUGGGAAAGGAUGUGGAGUUGCUCAGACAACCAGGAUGUUGGCUUAGAAGCAGCCAUCAUUUAAAGAGUGCGUAAUAGCUCACUGGUCCAGGGACUCUGCGCCGAAAAUGUAACGGGGCUAAACACGCCACCGAAGCUGUGGACGCUGGAGGUUGGAAGUAAGAAGUUGGAGGUAAGAAGGGAUGAUUCGGAGCUUUCGUGAUUUCCGUGUGUAUCAGGCAUCUUAUAGUCUGGCACUCGAAGUACACAAAGCCACCCGAACCUUUCCGGACUUUGAGAAGUAUGAACUGGGAGCUCAAUUAAGGCGAGCUGCGGUUUCUAUACCGGCUAAUAUAGCUGAAGGGUAUGGGAAACGAAGGUCAACUGACCUCGGUUAUGUUGAUCAAGCUUUGUAUCAACGAUGGGAGCAGUCAUACAGUAAACUGGGCAGGCAACUUCACAGCCUGCUGGAUAAAUGGAAGUCCAACAUCUGACCUCUUACUUCUGACCUCCAGUGUGGUAGGGGAGCGUCCCCAGUGCAUCGAAGUCGUGUCGUGAGGCACGGUGGAGUGCUGGGGAGUGAGAAUGCCGGUGUGAGUAACGAAAAGAGGGGGUGAGAAUCCCCUCCGCCGAAAGCCUAAGGUUUCCUGAGGAAGGUUCGUCCGCUCAGGGUAAGUCGGGACCUAAGCCGAGGCUGAAAAGCGUAGGCGAUGGACAACAGGUGGAAAUUCCUGUACCACCUUCCGCCGUUUGAGUGACGGGGGGACGCAGGAGGGUAGGAGAUCGCGCUGUUGGAUAUGCGCGUCCAAGCGGUGAGGCUGAAGGGAGAGGCAAAUCCAUCCCUUCAAGGCUGGGCCGUGAUGGCGAGGGAAAUGACAGUACCGAAGUCUUUGAUCUCACACUGCCAAGAAAAGCCUCUAGCGAGGCGGAAGGUGCCCGUACCGCAAACCGACACAGGUAGGCGAGGAGAGAAUCCUCAGGCGCGCGGGAAAACUCUCGUUAAGGAACUCGGCAAAAUGACCCCGUAACUUCGGGAGAAGGGGUGCCCCGGCAGGGUGGUCUUCGGACUGCUCGAGGGGGCCGCAGUGAAUAGGCCCAAGCGACUGUUUAGCAAAAACACAGGUCUCUGCGAAGCCGCAAGGCGAAGUAUAGGGGCUGACGCCUGCCCGGUGCUGGAAGGUUAAGGGGAAGGGUUAGCACUCCCACCCCAAAAAGCACUACUUUUUGGGGGACCCUGGGGAGCGAAGCUCUGAACCGAAGCCCCAGUAAACGGCGGCCGUAACUAUAACGGUCCUAAGGUAGCGAAAUUCCUUGUCGGGUAAGUUCCGACCCGCACGAAAGGCGUAACGACUUGGGCGCUGUCUCAACGAGAGACCCGGUGAAAUCGUAGUACCCGUGAAGAUGCGGGUUACCUGUGACAGGACGGAAAGACCCCGUGAAGCUUUACUGUAGCCUGAUAUUGGAUCUUGGUACGGUUUGUACAGGAUAGGUGGGAGCCGUGGAGUCCGGGCCGCCAGGUUCGGAGGAGGCACUGGUGGGAUACCACCCUGAUCGUGCCGGGGUUCUAACCGAGCACCGUGAUCCGGUGUCGGGACCGUGUCAGGUGGGCAGUUUGACUGGGGCGGUCGCCUCCUAAAGCGUAACGGAGGCGCCCCCAAGGUUCCCUCAGCGCGGUUGGAAAUCGCGCGGUAGAGUGCAAAGGCAGAAGGGAGCUUGACUGCGAGACCUACAAGUCGAGCAGGGACGAAAGUCGGGCUUAGUGAUCCGGUGGUUCCGAGUGGAAGGGCCAUCGCUCAACGGAUAAAAGCUACUCCGGGGAUAACAGGCUGAUCUCCCCCAAGAGUCCACAUCGACGGGGAGGUUUGGCACCUCGAUGUCGGCUCGUCGCAUCCUGGGGCUGUAGUCGGUCCCAAGGGUUGGGCUGUUCGCCCAUUAAAGCGGUACGCGAGCUGGGUUCAGAACGUCGUGAGACAGUUCGGUCCCUAUCCGUCACAGGCGCAGGAAAUUUGAGAGGAGCCGUCCUUAGUACGAGAGGACCGGGAUGGACGCACCGCUGGUGUACCAGUUGUGUCGCCAGAUGCAUCGCUGGGUAGCCAAGUGCGGAAGGGAUAAGCGCUGAAAGCAUCUAAGCGCGAAGCCCCCCUCAAGAUGAGAUUUCCCAUCCUUUAUGGAGUAAGACCCCUCGAAGAUGACGAGGUAGAUCGGUCCGGGGUGUACGCGUGGCAACACGUUCAGCUGACGGAUACGAAUCGGUCGAGGACUUCUCCUGAAUUG
rnacentral:rRNA from 1 species